UACGGAGGGUGCGAGCGUUAUCCGGAAUUACUGGGUUUAAAGGGUGCGUAGGCGGCCAGGUAAGUCAGGAGUGAAAGUUUGCGGCUCAACCGUAAAAUUGCUUUUGAUACUGCCAGGCUAGAAUUAGGAUGAGGUCAGCGGAAUGUGGCAUGUAGCGGUGAAAUGCAUAGAUAUGCCAUAGAACACCAAUUGCGAAGGCAGCUGGCUAGACCUGGAUUGACGCUGAGGCACGAAAGCGUGGGGAGCGAACAGGAUUAGAAACCCCCGUAGUCC
rnacentral:rRNA from 1 species